UACAUUUAAGUAUAAGCUGUACAGAGAUUUUUGAUAUCUCAAGAGACGGUUAAAUUCCGUUAAAUGUAA
rnacentral:tRNA from 1 species